CGGGGUGCACCAGGCGCGAAAACUCUACAAUGCAGGCAACUGCGAUAGGGGAACAUCGAGUGAUACUCAUUUUGGGUGUCUGUCCCACCGUCUAAAAAACGGUGGUUAGCAAGGGCCGGGCAAGACCGGUGCCAGCCGCCGCGGUAAUACCGGCGGCUCGAGUGGUGGCCGAUAUUAUUGAGUCUAAAGGGUCCGUAGCCGGCUUUGCAAGUCUUUUGGGAAAUCCAGCGGCUUAACCGUUGGUCGUCCGGGAGGUACUACAUUGCUUGGGACUGGGAGAGGUAAGAGGUACUCAGGGGGUAGGAGUGAAAUCCUGUAAUCCUUUGGGGACCACCGGUGGCAAAGGCGUCUUACCAAAACAGGUCCGACGGUGAGGGACAAAAGCUAGGGGCACAAACCGGAUUAUAUACCCGGGUAGUCCUAGCCGUAAACGAUGCUCGCUAGGUGUCACAACAAUCGUGAAUUGUUGUGGUGCCGUAGGGAAUCCUUGAACCGAGCCACUUGGGAAGUACGACCGCAAGGUUGAAACUUAAAGGAAUUGGCGGGGGAGCAC
rnacentral:rRNA from 1 species